rnacentral:misc_RNA from 1 species
UUUCCGUAGGUGAACCUGCGGAAGGAUCAUUAUCAAUUAUAGUCGGCAGCAAUGCAACUAUACACCCUUUUUCUUUUGCUUACUGUAUGUUUCCUCGUUGGGCUCGCCCGCCGAUAGGACAUUUUAAACUCUUUGUAAUUGCAAUCAGCGUCAGAAAUAACUAUAAUAGUUACAACUUUCAACAACGGAUCUCUUGGUUCUGGCAUCGAUGAAGAACGCAGC